rnacentral:rRNA from 1 species
UGGCGGACGGGUGAGUAAUGUCUGGGAAACUGCCUGAUGGAGGGGGAUAACUACUGGAAACGGUAGCUAAUACCGCAUAACGUCGCAAGACCAAAGAGGGGGACCUUCGGGCCUCUUGCCAUCGGAUGUGCCCAGAUGGGAUUAGCUAGUAGGUGGGGUAAAGGCUCACCUAGGCGACGAUCCCUAGCUGGUCUGAGAGGAUGACCAGCCACACUGGAACGGAGACACGGUCCAG